rnacentral:rRNA from 1 species
ACUCGCGGCCUAUCAGCUAGUUGGUGAGGUAACGGCUCACCAAGGCGACGACGGGUAGCCGGCCUGAGAGGGCGACCGGCCACACUGGGACUGAGACACGGCCCAGACUCCUACGGGAGGCAGCAGUGGGGAAUAUUGCACAAUGGGCGAAAGCCUGAUGCAGCGACGCCGCGUGAGGGAUGACGGCCUUCGGGUUGUAAACCUCUUUCAGCAGGGAAGAAGCGAAAGUGACGGUACCUGCAGAAGAAGCACCGGCUAACUACGUGCCAGCAGCCGCGGUAAUACGUAGGGUGCGAGCGUUGUCCGGAAUUAUUGGGCGUAAAGAGCUUGUAGGCGGUUUGUCGCGUCUGCUGUGAAAAUCCGGGGCUCAACCCCGGACUUGCAGUGGGUACGGGCAGACUAGAGUGUGGUAGGGGAGACUGGAAUUCCUGGUGUAGCGGUGAAAUGCGCAGAUAUCAGGAGGAACACCGAUGGCGAAGGCAGGUCUCUGGGCCACUACUGACGCUGAGAAGCGAAAGCGUGGGGAGCGAACAGGAUUAGAUACCCUGGUAGUCCACGCCGUAAACGUUGGGAACUAGGUGUGGGUCUCAUUCCACGAGAUCUGUGCCGCAGCUAACGCAUUAAGUUCCCCGCCUGGGGAGU